AAUCACUCGAGGACUAACCCCCUGUUAUUCUUCUUUAUUCUUUUCUUUUCUUUUCUUCUUAUCUUUAUCUUUAUCUUUCUUCUUCUUCUUCUUCUCUGCUCUUCCUCUGUAAGUGGAGAGUGAUGAAAUUGAGAGCGGGUUAGAGAGAUUUUGGUUCAUGAAACUGUUCGUAAGGUGACGGAGGUGAUGUCGAUGUGAUUCGGGAAGGGGAAGAUUAUUGAUUGUUAGGGUUUUGGCGUGAAUCAGGGGAAGAGGAAUUAGGGUUCUGAGUUUAGGUUUGGGUGCAAAUGACGGUGAUAUGGAGUUGAUAAAGAUGAAAGAUUAAUAGGGUUAUGGUUAAUCGAAGUUGUAGAGUUGUUUUGUGGAUUGAAUAAAGAGCUAGCUAGGCUUUCUGGAAGAAUUCCAAGAAAAAUUCAAAUAUGAAUUUGAUACUCUAGAGGUUUAAUUGGAGGUGGGUUUAACUCGAAUUAUGAGUUAAGGUUGAAGAAUAGCUUGGAAACAGUAGUUAGGGUUUGAAUCUGUGUUAGUGAAGGUAGGAGCAGAAUUGUAAGUUGUAGUUGUGAUGAUGUAGUUGCAGGGAGUAUGGAUGACUGGUGGGUGGUCGCAAAUCGAGUAACAAGAGGAGUUGUUCUCAAUUGCAGGAAUGAACUUAUAAUGGGGAACAGUGUGGAAUGGUUAUGUGGCUGUAACUUGGUCUUUGAUGUGAAUUGCAUAAAGAGAAAAGAGGGCGUUGCUACUAUUAGAAGAAUUUGGGUAUGGUUUUGAAACUGAUUGUAUUCAGGAAGUCGAGGUUUGAGGAAUUCGAUCACAAAUGCUUGAGUUGAAUUGUCUUUGAGGUAAUUGUUUUAUGAGUAUUAAUUUGUUCAAGUUUUUUAUUGAAUUUAUGAGUUUCUUAAUGAAUUAAGAAUUUACAUGGAAUUGUUGGUGGUUGUGGAUGUGAGUUGUAUGAGAUGUAUGUAUAUUUGAAAAGGAAGUUGAUUAAGAAGAUUAUGAUGUUUGAUGAAGGGGACUGUAAUUGAAGUAAGAUUCUGUGGUUGUUGAUAAUUCUAUGGUGAAUUGAUGAAAUUGUGUUGAAUGACAGUGAAGGAGGUAAUGAGAAUUGAUAGUGGUCAUACGUGCUGGGAAGAACUGGGGUUUUUUUUUAUUGCAGCUGGUGAUGGUGGCUAUAGAUGAAUGCUUAGGGCUUUGCAGAAUUUGUUUAGCUCAAAUGGUUGCAGUAAAUGAGCCUGGUGAUAAUGUAUCUAAAGAACUAGAAUUGCAGGUGGUAUGCAGUGGCAGAUGAGAUGGAGGUGGAGUUAACAUUUUGGUGGAGUUGGAUAAUAGAGUCUCAAGUAAAUGGGUUUGCUGGUGGACUGGAGUUGUGUAAUUGAAACUGUAAGUUAUUAUGCAGGUGGUAGUAAUUAGGGAAGAUGUGGUUGAUAUAGUGAUGGUGCUGAUGUGUUUUGUUUGAUUGUGCAAUCCAGGGAAGAGCUCAUAGUGGUUCUAGGAUUGAUUGUGUUGAGUUAAGAUUGAACAGAAUGGUAAUGGUGGUAAGUUAGUAUAGUACUGUUGGGAUGGAUUGUGUAUGAAUGAACUGUGGAUGUUUAUUGUAAAGAGCUGGAACUGGAUAUGGUGUUGUCUGUGAUGAAUGAUUAACUGCAAGUGGCCAUAUGAAGUAGAUUUGUAGUUGUAGAUAAAUGUAAUGAGUUGCAAGUAGUGGUGGUAUUGAAUUUUAGUUGUAAUUGAUCUGAAACUGGUGGUGAUUCAGUUUAGUGGAAUGUGUUGCUAAAAGCUACAAUUACAGCUAAUAAGAGUUCCUAUUUGUAAAUGAAAUUCAAUGUUGUUUACCAUUUGAA